rnacentral:lncRNA from 1 species
UCCUGUGCUCAAGCAAUCCUCUCGCCUCAGCCUCCCACAGUGCUGGGAUUACAGGCACAAGCCACUGCAUCCAGCCCGUGCGUGUUUUUGAGUGCACCAAUUCCAGCUCUAAGAUUGACGAGAUCCUACUGGCCUGGACCUGACUGUAAGCCAAAACCUGAUACUGCUGUCUGCUCUGUGCUGUUUCAGUCUCAGCAUGUGCUGUGCUAAAUUAAAAACGGGCGCACACUCCAGGAACAGCACUUCGACUAUGAGACCAUUGCAGACUUAGGGCACCCUCCGUGGGACCUAAACUGAAAACAUCAUGGAUGCUGACUGGACCAUCUGGAUCACAUAAAAAUGCCCACAGGAAA